rnacentral:lncRNA from 1 species
UUUGCUACUAACAGCAAUAAAAUGAUCCAGAACAAUUCUUAAAGACUUAUGAGGAAUGCUAUCUACCACCAGAGAAAGAACUAGAGAAUUGGAAUGCAGAUGAAAGUGUCAGAGAAGAGAAGAAUGUGCAUUAAAAAUGACAAGUGUCUAACUGGGUUUUGGAAAGUUGUGUUCAUUUGGAGCCAAGAGGAAGCUUGACUCAAGGAGAAAUAAGUAAUGAGAAGGGAAAGAUUAAAUGUAUGCUUUCAAUUAUUAGAUACAAU